UGUGUCCUUUUUGCAAUUUUUAUGAUUGCAUUUUCUUGUCUUGGUUUGGCUAACUCAUCAAGCAAUGUGAAGUGGAGAAAGCAGAAUAAGAAGAGCAACUGUGAUGUGUACCAAGGGAGUUGGCUCUACGAUGAGUCGUACCCUAUCUAUGAUUCAUCUGCAUGCCCUUUCAUUCGCAAGGAAUUUGAUUGCAUCAAAUAUGGUCGCUCUGAUCAACUCUACCUUCACUACAGAUGGCAGCCCACUGCCUGUGACUUGCCAAGGUUUGAUGGCCAAAAAUUUCUAGAGAGUUUUCAGGGGAAGAAGAUUAUGUUCAUAGGGGACUCUUUAAGUCUAAAUCAGUUUGAAUCGCUAUUAUGCUUGCUUCAUGCUGCUGUGCCUAACUCCAAUAUCAGGGAAGAGAAAAAUAACUCUUUUCCUACUGUGAUUUUCGAGGACUAUGAGGUAUCGAUAAUGUUGUUUCAUUCUCUAUUACUAGUAGACAUUGAACAGGAAGAUAUGGGUAGAGUUCUGAAACUUGAUUCCCUCAAGGAUGGCAACAUAUGGAAGGAUAUGGAUGUUCUGGUUUUCAACACUUGGCACUGGUGGUACAGAAGAGGACCUAAGCAACCAUGGGAUUUUGUUCAAGUUGGUGACACCAUUCUUAAAGACAUGGAUCGUAUGGUUGCUUUUCAUAAAGCCUUAACAACAUGGGCAAAAUGGGUUGAUUCUGAUGUGGAUACAAGUAAAACCCAUGUCAUUUUUCAAGGAAUUUCUCCUUCCCAUUACAAGUAAGUUACUCUUGAUAAUGAACUCAUUAUAGCAGCAUAAUAUAUUCUUCUGAUGUGUGUGUUGAAUCAGUGGGACAGCAUGGAAUGAGCCAGAAGUGACGAACUGUUCAAAGGAAACACAGCCAAUAAGUGGAUCGAAUUACUCUAGUGGUUUGCCAUUAGCAUUAUAUGUAGUGGAAGAUGUGUUGAGUAGAAUCAAGAAACCAGUUCAUUUGCUCAAUAUAACAACACUUUCACAGCUGAGAAAGGAUGCACAUCCAAGCUCUUAUAAUGGUUUUAAGGCCAUGGACUGCACCCAUUGGUGCAUAGCCGGGCUUCCAGACACUUGGAAUGAACUUCUCUAUAAAGCUGUUAUCAAUCAAUAGGAAGACAAAAUUUAAUAGACAGUUUCCUUAGUCACUGAAAGUAUAGCUAGCCAGGCCAGCCAACAAUCUCACGAAGUGACAUACUCAGUGAAAGCAAUUGGGUUUAGUAGUCCUGUGGUGGAAGGCCUACCUCAUGGCGCAACAGAUUAGGAAUUUAAAUCCUUUUAAGAAUUUUCAAAGUGCAUUUUUAUGGCCGGAUUUAAUUUGAGUAAUUUUUUUUCCUUGAUGGGAGCAUUAAUUAUUUCAACUUUUCUUUGUGUAUACUUCAGGUUUU
rnacentral:misc_RNA from 1 species